AUUAAACACAAAAAAUGAGUUCAAUUGGAUACAUCAUUCUGAAUAAUAAAUACACAGUAUUUGCCCAUACUAUGGUUACACAAUUUUGAAUAACAACAGAGUUACUCAAUUUUCGUGUUGUUCCACUUUUUAUGGAAAUGAAUUGUUUUCUAAUCAUUUUUGAAUUCAUUUUAGGGAGCGUGUAGCUCUCCAACACACUCACAACAAACUGUCAAGAAAUAGUAGACUACUGGAAAAGACACAAAACCUAUUGCUCUGAUUAAUUAAAUACCGCUCGAAGUUAUAUAGUGCUAGAAAAAGCAGUGCUAGAAAAAAGUGAUAACUGUUAUACAGUAUAGUGCACACAAAAAUAGAGACAUAUGCACCAAAUUAAGACGCCAUUUGCAAUACACACCAGACAACCUAUGUUGGACACCAACACACUGAACAAUAAAACGAUAAUCUUUUCUACUCCUUGAAAAAGGUGAAAUAAAGUCACCGAAACUGUCGGAUUAAGAAACAAACAAUCGUUUUUGCUUCUAUACACGGACUGAUUAAGCCGAUAAAUCUACAAAAUAGAAAGAGAGCUUUAUUCAGAAAAUGGCAACGGGCGUCCAACGCUAUUUUCAAAUUCAAGAAAAAAAAUAUUCAAAUACUCCCUGAUAUUAGGUUCAUAGGUCAGAGCUGAAUCCCCAAAACCGAAAAUUGGUGUCCGAACGUUUGGUAUAGUGAGGGUUGUUUUUCUGCAUUGGAAGUUAUUCAAAACUUGAGUAAAAUGUGGAGAUAAUCCCCGUAUCUCCAAAUUGGUAAAUUAACUCAUGAAGAUUGAUGCUCAACCACAGACUAACAGACAUAACACGUCGAACAAAUUUUCAAUAAAAUCAUUGUUUGGAUGAUUCCAGUACUUUACGUUAGUAACACUAUCACCAUCUGCUGUCGUGUUCGCGCUGCGACAUGUAUUUCGACAUCAGCGCCAGCGUUACCAGCGUCAAAUGGGGAACUACAAAAUAUGUAUGAGAUUGCAUGACAGCGCCCCAGACGACGUUUUCGCGCGAUGAAUGUUAUUCGAUUGAAAAUUUGAAAUGAACGUUUUUUGUGGCGAUGGAGCUAGGUUCCAGUGCACACUGGGCCAGAAAUGGAAUCU